UCUCCGUUGGUGAACCAGCGGAGGGAUCAUUACCGAGUUCCAGCAACUCCCAACCCUUGCGAACCGUACCCCAGUCUGUUCUCGUUGCUUCCGGCAGGCGGGGGGGGCCACCUGGCCCCUCCCCCUGCCGGGGGCGGCGGGCCCUCUGAGCCUUUAUAUCUCAACCACUGAAACCCGUCUGAGCAAAACAAAAAAUAAUCGAAACUUUCAACAACGGAUCUCUUGGCUCUG
rnacentral:misc_RNA from 1 species